rnacentral:misc_RNA from 1 species
AAAUGCGAUAAUUAAUGUGAAUUGCAGAAUUCAGUGAAUCAUCGAGUCUUUGAACGCACAUUGCGCCCCCUGGUAUUCCGGGGGGCAUGCCUGUCCGAGCGUCAUUGCUGCCCUCAAGCACGGCUUGUGUGUUGGGCUUCCGUCCCUGGCAACGGGGACGGGCCCAAAAGGCAGUGGCGGCACCAUGUCUGGUCCUCGAGCGUAUGGGGCUUUGUCACCCGCGCCCGUAGGUCCAGCUGGCAGCUAGCCUCGCAACCAAUCUUUUUAACCAGGUUGACCUCGGAUCAGGUAGGGAUACCCGCUGAACUUAAGC